CGUGCAGAGUUCUACAGUCCCAGAUUUUUGGGCACCACAAUAUAAGAAAGGUAUGAAGCUCUUAGAGAAUGUCCAAAGGAAGGCAAUGAAGAUGGUGAAGGGCCUUGAGGGGAAGCUGAAUGAGGAAUAGCUGAGGUCACUUAGUCUGUUCAGCCUGGAGAAGAGGAGACU